rnacentral:rRNA from 1 species
UGUGACGUUACCAAACUGUUGCCUCGGCGGGAUCUCUGCCCCGGGUGCGUCGCAGCCCCGGACCAAGGCGCCCGCCGGAGGACCAACCAAAACUCUUAUUGUAUACCCCCUCGCGGGUUUUUUACUAUCUGAGCCAUCUCGGCGCCCCUCGUGGGCGUUUCGAAAAUGAAUCAAAACUUUCAACAACGGAUCUCUUGGUUCUGGCAUCGAUGAAGAACGCAGCGAAAUGCGAUAAGUAAUGUGAAUUGCAGAAUUCAGUGAAUCAUCGAAUCUUUGAACGCACAUUGCGCCCGCCAGUAUUCUGGCGGGCAUGCCUGUCCGAGCGUCAUUUCAACCCUCGAACCCCUCCGGGGGGUCGGCGUUGGGGAUCGGCCCUUUACGGGGCCGGCCCCGAAAUACAGUGGCGGUCUCGCCGCAGCCUCUCCUGCGCAGUAGUUUGCACACUCGCAUCGGGAGCGCGGCGCGUCCACAGCCGUUAAACACCCCAAACUUCUGAAAUGUUGACCUCGGAUCAGGUAGGAAUACCCGCUGAACUUAAGCAUAUCAAUAAGCCGG